CAGCAGCCGCGGGAAAACGUAGGGUGCGAGCGUUAAUCGGAAUUACUGGGCGUAAAGCGUGCGCAGGCGGUUGUGUAAGACAGGUGUGAAAUCCCCGGGCUUAACCUGGGAACUGCGCUUGUGACUGCACAGCUAGAGUAUGGCAGAGGGGGGUGGAAUUCCACGUGUAGCAGUGAAAUGCGUAGAGAUGUGGAGGAACACCGAUGGCGAAGGCAGCCCCCUGGGCCAAUACUGACGCUCAUGCACGAAAGCGUGGGGAGCAAACAGGAUUAGAUACCCCCGUAGUCCCUGUCUCUUAUAC
rnacentral:rRNA from 1 species